rnacentral:lncRNA from 10 species
UUUUUUUUUUUUUUUUUUAAAGAGAGCAGGUCUUGCCAUGUGGCCCAGGCUGGUCUCCAACUCCUGGGCUCAGGUAACGUCCCACAGUGGCCUUGCAAAGUGCUGGGAUUACAGGCAUGAGCCACCACCCCUGGCAAAUUUUUUAAUUUUUUGUAGAGAUAGGGUCUCGCUAUGUUGCCCAGUCUAGUCAUGAACUCCUGAGUUCAAGCAAUCAGCCCACCUUGGCCUCCCAAAGUGUUGAGAUUACAGGUGUUGGGCCACCACACUUGGCCUAGAAAUCAUUUUCCAGGCACGGUGGCUCAUGCCUAUAAUCCCGGCACUUUGGGAGGCGAGGCGGGUGGAUCACCUGAGGUCAGAAUUCCUGUAUUCCUAAUAGGAUCUGUGCCAGAGACAAAAACACAAGACGGGUGUGAGCAGUUUGAAAGGGAGACACCGUGAGACUCGGCCUCAGCCACAGAGAAUGACCACAGACCCACGUGUCCGGAGGGGAGACUAAGGCAGCCCUGCCGGUGCCAGAGGCGGAGGCCCCGUACCUGUUUGAUUGUGAUGGCUGGCCUCCAGUCCUUGUCCUCCUCUAAGAUGGACAGGCACACUGUCCCCGAAGGGUACACAUUCGGGUGAAAUAAUGGUGGUUCGAAUUUACCUGGAGGAAGAGGAAGAAAGGAAGCACUUUUUGGAGGCAGGCACUGUCCCAGAGUCACGUCCUUCCCCACAUCACCCUCCUCCCAACACUGGGGCCCCGGGUUGGUAGCCAGGUUAUUUGGCCAAAAACUUUUCAAAAAAAUUAAAUUGUGGCCAUGAGGAGACUAAAGGAAGACAUAUCCACCUUUGCACACAGGGAACAGAGCCUUGGGGACACGGCCGCAGCCGAGACGAAGCUGUGUCUCUCCCAGGACAGAACUCCCAGCACAGCCAGGCAGUCUGGGAACACAGGCCCCAGGGUGGCCACUUAACCUGUGGCCCCCACAUCCUUUCCAGCUGGGCCAGACUCAGGGGAGAUGGGAGGAGCUGCAGGAGACGUCCAGGGACAUAGCCAACGCCCUUCCAGAGUCGGCUGUUCCGACGCAGACCCUCUGCUUCCAGGAUAUACGGGCUUUUAGGACCCUGUGUUAUUUCUUUACAAAAAAGCAGAAAAGUUUGCCACCAUUAGCCCCACCAGGGACCAUCACAGUUGAUAUUCUAGGCUAUUUCCCAUCUUUUACCUGGGCAUCCUCCCUCUUCUCUCUCAAUGCUACGGAAGGACACACAGUGCGGCAUGUCUAGUGCAGCCGGAGGAAUUACCAGAAAGCCAACGCGCCACGAACACCUACAGCUUCCCCGAACACUCGCUCCUACCGACCACUGCAUCUGCCCCGUAAUCCCAACUGCAACAUCCGCAGGCAGCUUCCUGGACUUCAGGUACCAUGGAGAUGCACAGGGCACACUCCCUGGGGAACGCGAAGACACCACCGCAGACCGUCCCACACCGCGACCAUCCCACACCGCAGGAGCACACGGGCGACACCAGCAGCUGCGUGGCUGUCCUGAGUGCGAACACGCGUGAGCGCGCUGCUGUGGAAUGUGGGGUGACGGUGUUGGCCCUCAAGCCGUGCUGCUUCCAGGCUGCUCACGCAGGCUGCGUCGCUGGCGGAUUCCAGCCACCGGGUGAGGUGCACGGCAGCCACUCCGUGGUGCUACGCUGCGCCUGCUGGUGACCGCUGAGCGCCCCUUUCGGCCCAGGCUGCUUCCUGGCGACUGCUUCGCAGAAGUUCCUCAAGCGAUACGUCUUACAGGGCUCUUCUGCUUGGGGCUUGACUUUUUGCUUUUUUAAUUUUUUGAGAUGGAGUUUCACUGUGGUGCCCAGGCUGGAUCUCGGCUCACUGCAGCCUUCACCUCCCGGGCUCAAGUGAUUCUCCCGCCUCACCUUGGCCUCCAGAGUAGCUGAGGUUACAGGCACCCGCCAUCAAGCUUGGCCAAUUUUUCUAUUUUAUUAGAACCGGGGUUCCUCCACUGUUGGUCAGGCUGGUCUCAAACUCCUGACCUUAAGUGAUUCACUUGCCUUGGCCUCCCAAAGUGCUGGGAUCACAGGUGUGAGCCAACGCGCCCGGCCCGACCUUUUCCUCUUCUAAGGGAAUCUUUUGGCAAAAACAAAAAUUGCCUAAUUUCAAUUUAAUCUGAUUCUCAAUCUCGUUUCUUCUGCCGAUCACAACUUACCCGCAGAAAGGCACAGAUGCUGGAUGCCAGCACUGCCAGGUCCACCUGUCCCUCCCAAGGUAGAGGCUGCCUCCUACUUCCUCAUGGCCUCCGGCUUGGCCGCUCCCGCGCUUCAAAGAAGGAACACAAAGGGGGUGCCCUCCUGUCUGGACUGUCCGCCAGGCAUCAUGUGGCCUCUUCACUCUUCCCUACCUGUCAUCCUAGGACGUCUGGGCUGGGGCAAGUGGGGGUGACACCGGCACCCAUCUGUGCCUCUGGUGGACACAUGUAUGUGCUUCUGUGAAUCUCGACUGACUCAAGUGAACAGCCAGGUCCUACAGCAUGAGCUCAGCUUCCACUGGUGUGGCAGGCAGCGUCCAGGGGAAACGUUCAGAACAUCCGCUCUCUCCAGCGGUGGCUGAGGCUCCCGCUGCCCUGCGCCGCGGCUCCGUCUGCUCCCCUGUGCGCUACGGCAGAUCCCACUGGGGAGGCUUUCACUCUUUGGCAAAGCCAGGCAUCCCUGCCGCAUUUGCUGGCUGGGUGGAGGCCUUUCCUGUGAGGGACACGCUGGACGUCAUGGCAGCCUUCUUACUGAUUCCCAGGAGCUCUUGGUAGAUUCAGGGUGAGGGCUGAGGUACGUACAUACACUGUAGUGUGCCCUCCUGCCCGGCGCCAACUGCAGUCUUUAUGAUAAAGAGAGAUUCUUAAUUUCAACUUAGUCAACUCGUCAAUCUCCCUCCGGCCAGCACUUCAC